rnacentral:RNase_P_RNA from 1 species
CAAGAUGGCCGGGUGGUUGCUCUUCUUUAUAAGAGGAGAGGAAAGUCCGAGCUUCAAUCGAGCUGGAUGCCCGUUAACUGCGGGGCGAGGUGACUCGACGGAAAGUGCCACAGAAACAUACCGUCUCUUAUUAAUUUAAUUAUUAAGAGAUAAGGGUGAAAUGGUGAGGUAAGAGCUCACCGCCCUGAUGGUGACAUCAGGGGCAUGGCAAACCCCAUCCGGUGCAAGGCCAAAUAGGGAAGCGUAGCUGUUCGGGCG